ACGGCAGCACGGAGCUUGCUCUGGUGGCGAGUGGCGAACGGGUGAGUAAUAUAUCGGAACGUACCCUGGAGUGGGGGAUAACGUAGCGAAAGUUACGCUAAUACCGCAUACGAUCUAAGGAUGNAAGUGGGGGAUCGCAAGACCUCAUGCUCGUGGAGCGGCCGAUAUCUGAUUAGCUAGUUGGUAGGGUAAAAGCCUACCAAGGCAUCGAUCAGUAGCUGGUCUGAGAGGACGACCAGCCACACUGGAACUGAGACACGGUCCAGACUCCUACGGGAGGCAGCAGUGGGGAAUUUUGGACAAUGGGCGAAAGCCUGAUCCAGCAAUGCCGCGUGAGUGAAGAAGGCCUUCGGGUUGUAAAGCUCUUUUGUCAGGGAAGAAACGGUGAGGGCUAAUAUCUCUUGCUAAUGACGGUACCUGAAGAAUAAGCACCGGCUAACUACGUGCCAGCAGCCGCGGUAAUACGUAGGGUGCAAGCGUUAAUCGGAAUUACUGGGCGUAAAGCGUGCGCAGGCGGU
rnacentral:rRNA from 1 species